rnacentral:rRNA from 1 species
CCGGUCCCAGUUCGGAUUGUAGGCUGCAACUCGCCUACAUGAAGUCGGAGUUGCUAGUAAUCGCGGAUCAGAAUGCCGCGGUGAAUGCGUUCCCGGGUCUUGUACACACCGCCCGUCACACCAUGGAAGUUGGGGCGCCCGAAGUUGCCUAAGAAAUAAGGUACCUAAGGCGAAACCAAUGACUGGGGUGAAGUCGUAACAAGGUACC